UGGGGUUGUAGCUGGCUCUCUCGGGCAUGUGCACACUCUAUUCAUCCAUCUCUCUAUACACCUGUGCACCUUUUGUGGGGAAUAAGUUGAAAGGAUUUUCUUAGUAAACCUCCCUACGUUUUUAUCAUAAACCCUAGAAUGUCUUUGAAUGUUUUUGCAUUAACAAUGCAUUUUAAUACAACUUUCAGCAACGGAUCUCUUGGCUCUCGCAUCGAUGAAGAACGCAGCGAAAUGCGAUAAGUAAUGUGAAUUGCAGAAUUCAGUGAAUCAUCGAAUCUUUGAACGCACCUUGCGCUCCUUGGUAUUCCGAGGAGCAUGCCUGUUUGAGUGUCAUGGAAUUAUCAAUCCUCUUUUACUUUAUUGUAAAAGAUGGACUUGGAUUUGGAGGUUUUUUGCUGGCUGCAUUUAUUUUGUGGUCGGCUCCUCUUGAAUGCAUUAGCUCGAGUCUUUGACGGGAUCAGCUUAUCGGUGUGAUAAAUGUUACAUCGUUGUUGGUUUUCGUGAAUUGAGCUUCUAAUCGUCCUUUGCGGGGGACAAAUUUACAUUUGACAUCUGACCUCAAAUCAGGUAGGACUACCCGCUGAACUUAAGCAUAUCAAUAAGCGGAGGAAAAGAAACUAACAAGGAUUCCCCUAGUAACUGCGAGUGAAGCGGGAAAAGCUCAAAUUUAAAAUCUGGCGGCUUUUAGUCGUCCGAGUUGUAGUCUGGAGAAGUGUUUUCUGCGCUGGACCGUGUACAAGUCCCUUGGAACAGGGCGUCAUAGAGGGUGAGAAUCCCGUCUUUGACACGGACUACCAGUGCUUUGUGAUGCGCUCUCAAAGAGUCGAGUUGUUUGGGAAUGCAGCUCAAAAUGGGUGGUAAAUUCCAUCUAAAGCUAAAUACAGGCGAGAGACCGAUAGCGAACAAGUACCGUGAGGGAAAGAUGAAAAGCACUUUGGAAAGAGAGUUAAACAGUACGUGAAAUUGCUGAAAGGGAAACACUUGAAGUCAGUCGCGUUGUCCGGAAAUCAACCCUGUUUUAUUGACACGGUGUAUUUUCUGGUUGACGGGCCAGCAUCGAUUUUGAUUGUUGGAUAAAGGUGAAGGGAAUGUGGCACCUUCGGGUGUGUUAUAGCCCUUUGUCACAUACAACGGUUGGGAUCGAGGAACUCAGCACGCCUUUAAUGGUCGGGGUUCGCCCACGUUUCGUGCUUAGGAUGCUGGCAUAAUGGCUUUAAAUGACCCGUCUUGAAACACGGACCAAGGAGUCUAACAUACCUGCGAGUGUUUGGGUGGUAAACCCGAGCGCGUAAUUAAAGUGAAAGUUAAGAUCCCCGUUACAAGGGAGCAUUGACGCCCGGACUUGACCUUUUGUGAUAGCUCUGCGGUAGAGCAUGUAUGUUGGGACCCGAAAGAUGGUGAACUAUGCCUGAAUAGGGUGAAGCCAGAGGAAACUCUGGUGGAGGCUCGUAGCGAUUCUGACGUGCAAAUCGAUCGUCAAAUUUGGGUAUAGGGGCGAAAGACUAAUCGAACCAUCUAGUAGCUGGUUCCUGCCGAAGUUUCCCUCAGGAUAGCAGAAACUUGUAUCAGAUUUAUGUGGUAAAGCGAAUGAUUAGAGGCCUUGGGGUUGAAACAACCUUAACCUAUUCUCAAACUUUAAAUAUGUAAGAACGAGCCGUCACUUGAUUGGACCGCUCGGCGAUUGAGAGUUUCUAGUGGGCCAUUUUUGGUAAGCAGAACUGGCGAUGCGGGAUGAACCGAACGUGAGGUUAAGGUGCCGGAAUACACGCUCAUCAGACACCACAAAAGGUGUUAGUUCAUCUAGACAGCAGGACGGUGGCCAUGGAAGUCGGAAUCCGCUAAGGAGUGUGUA
rnacentral:rRNA from 1 species